UACGUAGGGUGCGAGCGUUAAUCGGAAUUACUGGGCGUAAAGCGUGCGCAGGCGGUGAUGUAAGACAGAUGUGAAAUCCCCGGGCUCAACCUGGGAACUGCAUUUGUGACUACAUCGCUGGAGUGCGGCAGAGGAGACUGGAAUUCCUGGUGUAGCAGUGAAAUGCGUAGAUAUCAGGAGGAACACCGAUGGCGAAGGCAGGUCUCUGGGCUGACACUGACGCUCAUGCACGAAAGCGUGGGGAGCAAACAGG
rnacentral:rRNA from 1 species